GGACGGGUGAGUAACNCGUAGGUNACCUGCCCAGAAGCGGGGGACAACAUUUGGAAACAGAUGCUAAUACCGCAUAACAACGUUGUUCGCAUGAACAACGCUUAAAAGAUGGCUUCUCGCUAUCACUUCUGGAUGGACCUGCGGUGCAUUAGCUGGUUGGUAGGGUAACGGCCUACCNAGGCGAUGAUGCNUAGCCGAGUUGAGAGACUNAUCGGCCACNAUGGGACUGAGACACGGCCUAUACUCCUACGGGAGGCAGCAGUAGGGAAUCUUCCACAAUGGGCGCAAGCCUGAUGGAGCAACACCGCGUGAGUGAAGAAGGGUUUCGGCUCGUAAAGCUCUGUUGUUAAAGAAGAACCCGUAUGAGAGUAACUGUUCAUACGUUGACGGUAUUUAACCAGAAAGUCACGGCUAACUACGUGCCAGCAGCCGGGGUAAUACGUA
rnacentral:rRNA from 2 species